ensembl:lncRNA
GGAGGUCCGGGGGACGAGGCACGAAGAGGACGGAUGUCAAAGGAGCGCAGAGGUCGGAUCUCCGCCGCUCUGCUUGUAGCAGGAAGUGGCGCAGAGGCUUCCAGCUUCAGAGGCAAAGCUCCAUCUGAUCAAUAAUGGAUGCUGCUGUCUCCCACACUGCUGGAGAAGGGCCGGUACAUUAGCAACAGAAGAGCUCUGGCUGUAAAUAAGCUGGUGAAGCAAACUGGUCCUGAGUCUGAGGAGCCACUUCGGAGACUCCGUGAGGUUCAUUGUGAGGAACAGACAAGGAUCACCUAAGUCGUUAGGAGCCAUCCUCUGGGGAACACCAACGUCUAAAUCAUUUCUAGUCUCCAGAUCUCUUCUUGCCUCGGGCGCUCCAGAGUCCUUCCGCCUUAUGGAGAUUCCUUCAAAGUUGACAAUAAAUGUCGGAGCAUCACUCAAGCUCAUUGUUUUCCCCCGAGCUGAUUUCUUUAUUCUGCGCCUGCGACACUCAUCGUGCCUCGUUCCACCGGAAGCUCCAGAGGAUUUGUAUUAAUGCAUAAAAGAGAUAUUCCCUGAAAACACGUGUAGGGGUG